GACGAACCGUGCGAACGUUGUUCGGAAUCACUGGGCUUAAAGGGCGCGUAGGCGGCUUCGCAAGUCCGGGGUGAAAGCCCCCAGCUCAACUGGGGAAGUGCCUCGGAUACUGCGGAGCUCGAGGGAGGUAGGGGCGGAUGGAACUUCCGGUGGAGCGGUGAAAUGCGUUGAUAUCGGAAGGAACGCCGGUGGCGAAAGCGAUCCGCUGGCCCUCUACUGACGCUGAGGCGCGAAAGCCAGGGGAG
rnacentral:rRNA from 1 species